GACGAACGCUGGCGGCGUGCUUAACACGUGCAAGUCGAACGGGAACCUUUAUUUCGGUAAAGGUGAGAGUGGCAAACGGGUGAGUAACACGUAGGCAACCUGCCGACAGGAUGGGGACAACAUUCCGAAAGGAAUGCUAAUACCGAAUGGAGUCCGGGGAUGGCAUCAUCCCUGGAUAAAAGAUGGCCUCUGAAUAUGCUAUCGCCUGUCGAUGGGCCUGCGUCUGAUUAGCCAGUUGGCGGGGUAACGGCCCACCAAAGCGACGAUCAGUAGCCGGUCUGAGAGGAUGAACGGCCACAUUGGGACUGAGACACGGCCCAGACUCCUACGGGAGGCAGCAGUGGGGAAUCUUCCACAAUGGGCGAAAGCCUGAUGGAGCAACGCCGCGUGAGUGAAGAAGGUCUUCGGAUCGUAAAGCUCUGUUGCACGGGACGAAAACCGAGCUUGAGAAUAUUGAGUUUGGGUGACG
rnacentral:rRNA from 1 species